UACGGAGGGUGCAAACGUUGCUCGGAAUCAUUGGGCGUAAAGCGCACGUAGGCGGUCCGGCAAGUCGGGUGUGAAAGCCCUCGGCUUAACCGAGGAAGUGCAUUCGAAACUACCGGACUUGAAUACUGGAGAGGGUUGCGGAAUUCCCGGUGUAGAGGUGAAAUUCGUAGAUAUCGGGAGGAACACCAGUGGCGAAGGCGGCAACCUGGACAGAUAUUGACGCUGAGGCGCGAAAGCUAGGGGAGCAAACAGG
rnacentral:rRNA from 1 species